rnacentral:rRNA from 1 species
ACCUACGGGGGGCAGCAGUGGGGGAUAUUGCACAAUGGGGGAAACCCUGAUGCAGCGACGCCGCGUGUGGGAAGACGGUCCUCUGGAUUGUAAACCACUGUCCCCAGGGACGAAAAUGACGGUACCUGGGGAGGAAGCUCCGGCUAACUACGUGCCAGCAGCCGCGGUAAUACGUAGGGAGCGAGCGUUGUCCGGAAUUACUAGGUGUAAAGGGAGCGUAGGCGGGGCUGCAAGUUGGGUGUCAAAACUACCGGCUCAACUGGUAGUCGCACUCAAAACUGCAGCUCUUGAGUGAAGUAGAGGCA